rnacentral:rRNA from 1 species
GGCGACAAGACGGUGGAGCAUGUGGUUUAAUUCGAAGCAACGCGAGAACCUUACCAGGCCUUGACAUGCAGAGAACUUUCCAGGGAUGGAUUGGUGCCUUCGGGAACUCUGACACAGGUGCUGCAUGACUGUCGUCAGCUCGUGUCGUGAGAUGUUGGGUUAAGUCCCGUAACGAGCGCAACCCUUGUCCUUAGUUACCAGCACGUUAUGGUGGGCACUCUAAGGAGACUGCCGGUGCAAACCGGAGGAAGGUGGGGAUGACGUCAAGUCAUCAUGGCCCUUACGGCCUGGGCUACACACGUGCUACAAUGGUCGGUACAAAGGGUUGCCAAGCCGCGAGGUGGAGCUAAUCCCAUAAAACCGAUCGUAGUCCGGAUCGCAGUCUGCAACUCGACUGCGUGAAGUCGGAAUCGCUAGUAAUCGUGAAAUCAGAAUGUCACGGUGAAUACGUUCCCGGGCCUU